GGGAGCAAGGGAGGUUAGGAUGGGGCAGCAGGGAGGCAGGGAGGUGGCUAAGGAGUCGCGCCCGCCAUCCCCCUUCCCCCUUCCUCCUCCUGACCAGAUCCUACGCUCUCGGGGAUCCUGCAGGAUGUCCCCCGCGCGCCAUGCGUGAGUACGGGGAAUCCACUGACUCAUGACUCAUCGGAAGUGCCGGUCUGAGUAAUUUUCCGAUUUUCCUCACUCUCUCUCUCUCUCUCUUACUCUUCUCCUUUACUCUCGCAACGUGUUCUUCCCUCCUACACUUCUGGGCACCGGUGUGACGCCACGAGCCCGGUAUUGGUGGGACGCGGAGAGGAAGUCAGGACGGUUUCAGGAGCUGCGUCUUGCCCAGUGUGGUCCUGCGGUGACCUAGUGUCGGCAGUGCUUCUUCGUGGUCGUCGUCGGUAUUACUCGGAUCUGGUGUUUUUUAUUUUGAUCAAUUAGAGUUCAAAAUCAGUGACUGAAACAUCGGAAAUCAAGUUAAUCUGAAAUAUUGUGUUGAUAUUGAUUUUGAUAAGACAGUGUGAGUAAAGUGUCAGUAUUGGCCAUCAACAAAAAACUGCGAAGUGGCCAAAGUGACUGGAAAGUGUCAGCAUCAAACCACAACAACAGAACAGUAAAAAUCGAGUGCCAAGUGUCAGCAAUUUUCAGAAGGCUGGAAAUUAAGAUUCGAGAGGAAAUUCCGGUGUCCUGAUCGUCUCAGACCAGUAUAUGCACCGCGAACGCUUGAAGUUCCACAAACUCAGCAAUUCCUUCUACAUCCGGGACCUGUCCUUUGUCUCUUGUUUUAAGUACAGAUAUAAGAGCUCGACUGAAGGCAUGGAACCGUGAUUGGUCAGCCAGAGAUCUCGGUCUUUGUAAGAUUUUCGUUUCUCAAGGCUAAGAAAGCUUUGGAAUCGUCCUUUCUUGAGGCUGACCUUGAGAUUCUGUUGGCGAUACCUUCUCUCUAGAUCAAGUCUCGAGAAGCAGAGACAGAUACUAGAGAUAAGAAGCAAGAAAAAAGGGAGAUAAGCACAGAGAGCACAGAAGCACGGGCGAACCAGGGCGACCUGACGAAAAAUCACAAAGUUGAUUUCAAGAAGCCCUUUCUCUAGAUUUCAAAAGCCGUUGAAUGGCCAAGGAAGGACAGAAGGAGGCCAUCGUGAUCACCAGGAGCAUGGCCGAGGUCUCCAUCUCACCCAAGCCUUGUGAGCAAGAGGCCAUGGAUCUGGACGUCUCUAGGGCCAGCGAAGGAGAGAUUCCUGUGGGUGCUAGGAUGGAAGAGGAUGUCGAGCAGAAGCAAGAGGAGAAGGAGGCGGUAGAGGAUCAUGGGCCUUCUUCCGCUUCGUCUCCUCGAGGCAAGAGAGAGAUCUGCAGGUCCCUCGCUGGGAGUCCUUCCAGGAUGGUUCCUUCUUCCUCUGCAUCGUCGCCCUUGUCGUCUUCCUCAAACGUUAUCUCUUCCCCUUCCUCCCCCUCUUCCUGCACCAACUCCUCCUCCCUCACCC